UGCAGUGCAGAGUGUUAUGUCCUGCUGAUGUAUGUGACACAUCUCAACCUGUGCGUUUUGGAGGCCAAAGCCCAUGGCCAAGCCUGUGACCUCUUUGGGGUGAGGCAGGACGGCCCAAGGAACAAGAAUGUGCUGCACCGGGGGCCGUUGGCCCAGGGAUUGAAAACGUGACGAGGCCGUUCUAAAGGAACACAGAGUAUGCGGUUUUCCGACCAGCAGGAAGUCUGGGGUCAAGUUCAGCCAGCACAAGGGGAUCCUGGGCAGUCUGUACUGGAAACCAAGGUCAUACCUAGGGACCACUCCUCAAUGAGGCUGUCCUGCUGCCAUGAGGAAGUCCUCCAUCACCUGCAAAGAGGAAGGGCGAGCCUCGGCUGGGUGCUCCUUCUGUAGCCUCCAGAAUGUGAGAAGAGAGGCCCUCUGGCGCCUGUAGCUCUGGGCGAGGCAGCGGGAGGCCAAGACUCAGCGACAGAAGGUUUGCCCACCAAGGAGGGGUGCCCCGAGUGUCCAACACAGAAGCACUUGCUGCCCCUCCUUGGUUAUCUGACAUGCACCUUCUUCCCAAGCUCACCUCAAAAAUAAGUCUCCCAGCAGCCCGCACCCGAGCCUCACCACCGCACGGCCCUGCCUCUCCCUGAGGGCGAGAACCCCCCACCCCACCGCUCUGCGGAUGACGUCCUCGACUCCUGGUCCAGGUGUCUGGGAUGUCUCUUCCUCCUCCGGUUUUUCUUGGUUCUCUGUAUUUUCAAGGAUGUAGGAUUAAAGCCAACGGCUACACCAUGCCGCCAAAGUGUGGCCCAAGGACCCAGGGGUCUGCGAGGUCCUUGCCCAACUGCACAUCUGGGGACGCCAUGCAAGAGACCAACGCAGAAGUCAACGUGGGGACACAGUGCAUCCCGGGAAGCCAGACGCUAAAGGGCAGAAACUGCAUGAGCUUUUCUGAGCUGGCCUCAGAAGUCAUGGAAUAUCACUUGUCCUCCGUUAGUUGAAGCACUCACAAACCUGCCGAGAUUCAAGAGAAGGAGACAGAGAGCCCAUCUCUCAGUUGGAGGAGGGCCAAAACGUUUGUGGUCAUGUUUCAAAGCUGCCACUGCCCUCGUGCUAUAGGGAGAGAAGAUCUCAUGGCUCCCAGCAGCUUCCCUUUGGGAUGGAGGCGGCUUCAGGGUGAUUACAGGGAAGCCCAUCUUUCCAAUCCCAGGAGUGGCCAGAGUCGGGGUCGGGAGAUUGGCAUCCUGCUAACAGGUGAAUCAGUGACCCCUCAGCUCCCUGUGACUUUGCCUUAGGGUGGCAAGUCUGAGAAAUCACACCUCUCUUCCAGACUGACCAGCGCCAAGGGAUCCAUCAUCCUCUGCUGAAUCAAAGGAGCCAUCACUGUCAAUCCUUUGCCAAGGCAACGGCAAAAUUUCCCCUCCUGUGAUUCCAAAAUUUCCCCUCCUGUGACUGCCCUCUUAUAAUCUGUUCUUCAGAGCAGCUGGAGUGAUUUUCGAAGAUGAUCAAGCAGAUGAUUUCGUAGCCAGCCUCCCAGCUCAAGUUGACCCUCGACCUCCAUUGUUCCUGGAAGACAUCUGUGCUGCUUGUCAUUGCCUUUGGCCAGACACACAACCUUGUCCCUGCUCAGCUCUUUGAUUUCACUUCCUUUCACUGGGUUCCAGCUACACUGGUUUUCCUACUGUUCUUGGAAUUCACCAGCCUUGUUCCUGCCUUGAAGCCUGUGGACCCCAUAACCCUUGCCCCCAGCAGCCUCUGUUUCCCAGGAGAGGUCACCAGGCUCUCGCUCCUCCAGAUUAGGGGUGAGACCAUAAAAACCAGAGCUUACCUGCUGCAUAUUGCAUAGAUUCUGCCCCAUGAUGGACUUUUCCUCCACACUCCGGGGAAAUCUGACUGCCAGCAGCUGUCCCUGGAGGAGCCGAACUGCACAGACCCUGGUGGACGGAACCUGACAGUAGCCUGCAGCUGCCCUGUGGAAGACCAACCGAGGACACGAUAUUUACUCUUUCUUUCCAGGUACCACGUCCUCCUCCAGGGCCCUCCUAGGAUCUGGGGUGUAGCAGGAACGAAAUGAAACCAGUCCUGGGCCCUCUUGGAGCUUUUCUCCCACAGUGAGACGCAGCCAGGUGAACAGAUGUAAAUCAGGUGUUCCCUCCGACGGUGAGAGAGCUCCCGAGGAGGCGAACCCGGAGAGGAAACACAGAGGCUGCCGCUUAAAACUGGAUCAUCACAAACAAAGGGCUUUAUUGAGGACGUCUGAGCGGCUUUUGGGGUGGGGGGGCAGGAGGGUUUCAGGCAGCUGGAGACCAGCAGGGACAAAGCGUGAGGCGGAUUUCAGGAGGAGCGAGGGGCCAGUCUGGCUGGACGGUGUAGGGAGGACAAGUGGCUGUGGGUGGGGCUGGUCAGUCGGAUGGGCCAUGGUGGCCCGUGAAUGAGACGGGAGCCACGGGGGUGUGGCACGGAGGAGCACAGGGUCUGGCCCGGGUGACAGCACUGCUCUGGAGGCAGCAGAGGAGGGUUAGAAGGAAGGCGGGGGGAAGGGAGAGGUGCUUGGACCAGAUGGGAUGGCGGAGGCAGGCAGGGUGGAUUCUGGAAGGAUUCGCAGAACUGAAGGCAGAGCCAGCGGGGCUGCCCACACUGCUCUGGGGAAGAGAGAGGGAGUGGCCGAGGACAGGGAAACGGGGUUGUCGUUCACUGAGAGGGAAGAAGCAGGUGAAGGCGCUGAGAAUGUGGCCUUGGGGGUGCUGUCUUGGGGGGCCUGUGGGGCGCCUAAGUGAGGACACAGGGAGUUAAGGGGGACACAGGGAUGCCAUCACCCGGGCUGGAGGGAAGGAGCGCUCGUCCUGCAGGAGAGGCAAGAGGGGAAGGCGGACGGACGGGGAGACGUGCAGCAGGAAGACAGGGCUUAGGACAGGCCGGGAGGGAGAGGAGGAGUCUACGUGGUAUGUGAUGUGGACCUCUGGUCCUAAAACAUGAGGCAGGAGCCACAGCUGCUUUGACGGAGGAAGGUGCUGAGCUGGGCAGACAGGACACCCGAGCGGAAAUGCUCCCACAGUGGGCAAACCCGCCACUGAGGCAGAAAGAAGGAGAAGGGAAAAGAUACUGAGUACCCCAGACUCAGAGAAGGGGUUGGGUGUGGAAAUCGACACAGACUGAGCACCUACUAUGUGCCAGGUACAUUGCUGGUGCUCUAUAUCAUGAUCACAGACAGCUCUUUAAAGGUGCCCACAUUUUACUGAAAGACCCCCAUCCAAUGAAAGACCCCCGUAUCCCUGUCCAAGGAGAAUCACACGAAACACUGGCUGCAAAAGCAAGAGGUUGUUGGUUUAUUGGGACACAGGCGCCUGCGGGUGCCCAGCAGAACCUCAGCCGGAGCUUUGGUGAACUGGCACACCGGGCUUGGGGAUACAGAGAUUUUUAUAGGGUUUGGGACAGGUUUCGCGCACGCGGGAAGCAACAG